rnacentral:rRNA from 1 species
GAUGAACGCUAGCGAUAGGCUUAACACAUGCAAGUCGCGGGGCAGCACAAGGUAGCUUGCUAUCUGGGUGGCGACCGGCGCACGGGUGCGUAACGCGUAUGCAACUUGCCCUAUACAGGAGGAUAACCCGUCGAAAGACGGACUAAUACUGCGUAUGCUCACAACUUGGCAUCAAGUGGUGAGGAAAGAAAUUCGGUAUAGGAUAGGCAUGCGUCCCAUUAGCUUGUUGGUGAGGUAACGGCUCACCAAGGCAACGAUGGGUAGGGGAACUGAGAGGUUUAUCCCCCACACUGGUACUGAGACACGGACCAGACUCCUACGGGAGGCAGCAGUGAGGAAUAGUGGUCAAUGGGCGCGAGCCUGAACCAGCCGAGUCGCGUGAAGGAUGACUGUCUUAUGGAUGGUAAACUUCUUUUAUACGGGAAUAACAAGAGUCACGGGUGACUCCCUGCAUGUACCGUAUGAAUAAGCAUCGGCUAACUCCGUG